rnacentral:rRNA from 1 species
UAACGCGAAGAACCUUACCUGGGUUUUGACAUCCCGGGAAUCUUUUGGAAACUUAAGAGUGCCACUUCGGGGAGCCCAGGUGACAGGUGCUGCAUGGCAUGUCGUCAGCUCGUGUCGUGAGAUGUUGGGUUAAGUCCCGCAACGAGCGCAACCCCUAUCUUUAGUUACCAGCAUUCGGUUGGGGACUCUAAAGAUACUGCCCCGGUCAACGGGGAGGAAGGUGGGGAUGACGUCAAGUCCUCAUGGCCUUUAUGCCCAGGGCUACACACGUGCUACAAUGGGCUGUACAAAGGGUAGCGACAUCGCGAGGUGAAGCCAAUCCCGUAAAGCAGUUCGUAGUUCGGAUUGGAGUCUGCAACUCGACUCCAUGAAGUUGGAAUCGCUAGUAAUCGUGGAUCAGCAUGCCACGGUGA